CUGGCUUCCACAGCAGAGGGGUGUCCCGGGCUGGCGGAAAUGAAGCUGCUGUGCACAUCUCUGGAACAUCUCGGGUUCACCUCUAGAUGCCUACAGCACAGCCAUAGGUCUGAAACGUUCUGCGCAUUUACUUUGGUGACAAAGUCUCAAGUAUGGUUAAUGCUCUGUACUGUGCUGCCUGCGUCUGACUUGGACUAGAGAAUACCGAUGCAAUGAGGCCCGAGUGGAGGAUCAUCAUCUGCUCUCGCUCCGAGCUGCAGGGGCACUGGGCUACAGUCAGCGUGGGACAGCGAGGGUGACGCUGGAGCUGCCUCCCAAGAGAUUCAGAGCCAGGGGCGAC
ensembl:lncRNA